AUCAUUCAACCACAUUAAUUCACCCAAUAUGUCCCAAGGAGUAGCUGUAGCCUUAGUGAUCCAGAAACACAAAAGACAGGUCGGUCAGGUCCUUCACCCUCUGGAGGGCAGGUGGGGGUGGACUGAUGGCACUGGAGGGGACAAGUGUGAACAGAAAGUGAUACGUAUUUCAGUAUGGUAUUAACAGGCCCCCACAUCCUUUCAACCUUGAAAUAUGAGGUUUCUGGGCAGCUAAGAAAAGGGAUGUCUUACAGGGUUGGGGGUGUCUAGGACUGAGCUUAUUGUCUUGCUUUGCCCAGGACAGUUACAGAGCUGGGAAAGGGAGGGGGAGGAGCCCCAUCCUCCAGGAGGGGGAGCAGCACCUGGGGUCUACUAGGGAACAGCUCACCCACAC
rnacentral:lncRNA from 1 species